CUUUUUUUUUACAGCCACAUUGAGCUGUACUGCAAGGGUACAGAUGCACAGUGGGCAAAGGUCGUUAUACAACCAGAACUGUAUUUAACCAAAGCAAGAGAGCAGCCAGCAAGUUACAGGUGUACACAAGCGAGUAUACAGGCUGACCAUGUUAAGUUAAGAAGGGAGAAGAGGGAUGGCGAGGUAUAGAGCUAUGAUCAGUGCAUCCGGCGUGGGGCUGGGGAGACUUCCAAAAUCUGGGUAGGCGCUUAUGAAACUACAAAACUUCCCUGGUCCCGCAGACAGGUGCCUCUCUGGAGACUGCGGCCGACUGGGGUCAGCCAGGCUCCUAGCCCCACGCACCUCCUGCCGCCCAGGACUACGCCUCCCAGCGGCCUCUGCGCCCGGCGCCCAGGACUACACUUCCCGGCGGCCCCCACUUCGGAAGCGGUUUCGUCCAGACCUGCCUUCCCGCCGCUGAUUGGCUGCUGCCUUCCCGCCGCUGAUUGGCUGCUGCCGUCCGCUGAGUGGCUGCUGCCGUCCGCUGAUUGGCUGCUGCCGUCCGCCGCCCGCGCGGCGGCUCUCGGAGGUCGUGUCGGUCCGCUUGUCCUGACGCCAGGGGUCGGCAGUAUUCAAGGACGUGGCGAUAGACUUCACCCAGGGAAAGUGGAACUACCUGGGUGCUGCACAAAAGGACUUACCCAGAGACGUGAUGUUGGAAAACUACCACAACCUGGUCUCUGUCGUAGGACUUUCCAGAUCUAAGCCAGAUGUGAUCUCUUUAUUGGAGCAAGAGAAGCAGCCUUGGAUGGUUACAAAGGCCAUGACAGGUGGCCCUCGCCCGGGCCUAAAAAAGCCAUCUUCCAGACUCAAGGGUGUCACUUCCUCACUAUAGGUGGAUCGCUACCUGAUGCUCCCCUUCAACAUUUCCAAUAUUCCCUCACUUACCUGAGCACUGGCUUGUGGUUGGUGCUCUGUCAUCUGUCCAGGCCUCCUGCCCUUGCUCCAGUAAGAUUACAGCUGGAUUAGAAAUGGAAAGUCCUGCUCAUGAGAAAAAAAGUUCUGGGAUGUCCCAGAAUUCAUCCAGUCCUUUGGUCAAGAAAGAAAUAGGAUUAUAAGAAGGACCAACCAGAGAAAAGCAUAUAUCAUGAAAAAUGAAUAAAAUUAUGUUUCCACCAUAA